rnacentral:rRNA from 1 species
UACGUAGGGUCCGAGCGUUGUCCGGAAUUACUGGGCGUAAAGAGCUCGUAGGUGGUUUGUCGCGUUGUUCGUGAAAACUCACAGCUCAACUGUGGGCGUGCGGGCGAUACGGGCAGACUUGAGUACUGCAGGGGAGACUGGAAUUCCUGGUGUAGCGGUGGAAUGCGCAGAUAUCAGGAGGAACACCGGUGGCGAAGGCGGGUCUCUGGGCCGAUAUUGACGCUGAGGAGCGAAAGCGUGGGGAGCGAACAGG